UGGGGAAUAUUGGACAAUGGGCGCAAGCCUGAUCCAGCAACGCCGCGUGGAGGAUGAAGGUCUUCGGAUCGUAAACUCCUGUCAGACGGGACGAAGGUAGGAGGGCGAACAGUUCUCCUGCUUGACGGUACUGUCAGAGGAAGCCCCGGCUAACUCCGUGCCAGCAGCCGCGGUAAUACGGAGGGGGCGAGCGUUAUUCGGAAUUAUUGGGCGUAAAGGGCGCGUAGGCGGCUGUGCAAGUCAAAGGUGAGAUCCCUCGGCUCAACUGAGGAACUGCCUUUGAAACUGUACGGCUUGAGGCCGGGAGGGGGUAGCGGAAUUCCCGGUGUAGCGGUGAAAUGCGUAGAUACUGGGAGGAACACCAGUGGCGAAGGCGGCUACCUGGACCGGUUCUGACGCUGAGGCGCGAAAGCGUGGGUAGCAAACAGGAUUAGAUACCCUGGUAGUCCACGCUGUAAACGAUGGGUGCUCGGUGUCGCGGGUAUCGACCCCUGCGGUGCCUUAGCUAACGCGUUAAGCACCCCGCCU
rnacentral:rRNA from 1 species